rnacentral:rRNA from 1 species
GCAUAUCAAUAAGCGGAGGAAAAGAAACCAACAGGGAUUGCCCUAGUAACGGCGAGUGAAGCGGCAACAGCUCAAAUUUGAAAUCUGGCGCAAGCCCGAGUUGUAAUUUGUAGAGGAUGCUUCUGGGCAGCGGCCGUUCUAAGUUCCUUGGAACAGGACGUCAUAGAGGGUGAGAAUCCCGUAUGUGACCGGCACGUACCCUUUACGUAGCUCCUUCGACGAGUCGAGUUGUUUGGGAAUGCAGCUCUAAAUGGGAGGUAAAUUCCUUCUAAAGCUAAAUACCGGCCAGAGACCGAUAGCGCACAAGUAGAGUGAUCGAAAGAUGAAAAGCACUUUGGAAAGAGAGUUAAAAAGCACGUGAAAUUGUUGAAAGGGAAGCGCUUACAACCAGACUUCGUGGCGGUGUUCCGCCGGUCUUCUGACCGGUCUACUCGCCGCCGCGAGGCCAGCAUCGUCUGGGGCCGCCGGAUAAGACCUUAGGAAUGUAGCUUGCCUCGGUAAGUGUUAUAGCCUAGGGUGAUGCGGCGUGCCUCGGGC